CCUACACGCACCUUCCUACGCUGGCCUGUGCGUGCAGCCUGCCCUGGCCUCUACUGUGACGCCUACCACGUUAUAUUUGUAAUGAUUUGUUUAUGACUGUCCCCAUACUAGGGAAGGCAUCGAGCUUGAGGAAGAGGCCCCAUUCAUCUCCGUACCCCAGGCCCUGGUACACAGCAGGCAGCAAGAAUGCGGUGUGUCAGGAGAAGCAAAUCCCAAAUGAGAUAAACCUGCCAGUAAUUUCAGCAAAUGAAACGUGGAACACGUCAAGGCCAGAGGAUGGAAAAGGCUCCAGUUUUGAUAAAAGGAGGCCUGCUUGGCUUGGAAUCCUCUCUCCUGCUGGUUGGGAGAUGCAAAGAUGUUUCCAGAGAGGGGCUGAUGAAUUGAGGGGAAAGAAAUGAGCCCAGUAUGAGUCCCCUUUCAGGGCUGAGCGUGUAUAAAACCAAACAACUUGGAACCGCUCCAAGAGAGGGGAU
rnacentral:lncRNA from 1 species